UACGUAGGGGGCGAGCGUUAUCAGGAUUCACUGGGUGUAAAGGGAGCGUAGACGGCCAAGCAAGCCAGGGGUGAAAGCCCGGGGCCCAACCCCGGGACUGCCCUUGGAACUGCAUGGCUGGAGUGCGGGAGGGGCAGGCGGAAUUCCUGGUGUAGCGGUGAAAUGCGUAGAUAUCAGGAGGAACACCGGCGGCGAAGGCGGCCUGCUGGACCGCGACUGACGUUGAGGCUCGAAAGCGUGGGGAGCGAACAGG
rnacentral:rRNA from 1 species